UUCCAAUGCCACUGUUUGCCCCGGUCACGAUAAUAGUUUUGCCCCGCAGCAUAUCGACGCCUUCAUCCGAAUGUUUAAAAUGGGGAAUAGCUUCACUGGUGAGCCUUCUGGGGCCAUCAACAACGUCCAAUUCAUGAGCAGGGCACAUGAGCGGCGAUUGUACCGAGCUCCUGGGCACCCUCGAUGUGAAACAUCUGAUCGUCAAAGAAGAUGUGAGGCCUGAUCUUCUGUAGGAGAGGCCCUUUGGGAGCCCCAGCCAAAAAGAGGGCCUCAUCUACCUCCAACCCCCAGCUCCGUAGGGUCUUCAGAACACGUGCCCCAGCGCUGGCAGCGCUUCGAGCUGUGACCAGAUGCUUGCGCAGGCAGCUGUGUUGCGCCCAAUGCUGUGUUGUUUGAUUUCUUCCGCCUCCCUGAUGCGGAGACUGGGAGGUCACCAGCUGCAGACCACACCAAGUUGGACAGUCCUCAGUGUACAGAAAGCCUUCAGUUAUUUGAGUUGCUUGUGAGGGUUUUCCAACUCUUAAUGCUGGAGCCGCAUACACGUAGCAUCUGCAACAGCGUUCUCAACCUCUACCCAUCUGUCCCAUGAGCAGUUCAUCAUCUGGAGUGCUUCGUACAAGUUGUAUCUCACUUUCCUUUAUUAAGUCACUUUAGAAGGGUCUUUUUAUGAUCUUGAGCAAUCAGGUCCUCAGAAUAUGACCUCCUACCAAGCAGAGCUUGUUCCGUCUUUCAAAACAGGCCUUGUUUUUUCUCCUUUCAAAUUUAAUUGUAGGUUCCUUUUGUACUUUGAUUUGGACGUCUAUGCAUCCAUGGAAUUAUUUUUCUAAUAGCAAACACUUGUUAGUUCUUAGGGCUGAGAUUAAUCCACAAAUGAAAGUUUGAAAUGCUUUGAUCAUUGGGUUAAAAUUAAUUAAUGGAAGCGUAGGUCAAACAUGUUAUCGAAAAAGUAUCCGUGCAGAGCAUGUUGUGUAAGCAUUCUUUAGACUUUAUUCAUAGCUAUGUUAGGUAUAUCUGCUAUAUGUGUGUGCUUUGUUAUACCUUUUUAUAUUUGUUUUAUUUAAAUAUUUUAAAUGUAUAAGCUAUGUUGCAUUUAAACGAAAGUAUAUGCUGACAAUAUAUUUUGUUUUUAGUAGACAAUUUGUUGACCUUUGGUGGAAAUGAUUGUGUGAAUGAAACUGAAUUGCGCUUAAGAAAUGAAUUCUUGUCUUAUGUAAGAAAAGCACCCUUUAAAUAUACCCUUAAAGUACAAACAUUUUUCACAGGAAUAUGAAGGGUGCAUGAGGUGUAGCCUUCAGUUGUUCAGUAGUUUUUUUUUGUGUCACCAAGAACAAAUGUAAUUUAGUUGAUAAAUGGCUGCAGCUGCACAUUCUUUUUAAGAUGUGGUGAUCAAUUGCAGGCAAUGGUGAUUUUAAAAGUUGUGUAAUCUCAUUAGACAGGUGUAGUAAACAGGAUAAUGAGUGUUUAAUGAUUUUUAAAAGUUCAAACAACAGCUUCUUGCUAGUCAACAAAGUCCUACAAAGGCCAUCUUGUUUAAUUCUAGGUUGAGAGAACAACUGUU